rnacentral:rRNA from 1 species
CCUACGGGAGGCAGCAGUGAGGAAUAUUGGUCAAUGGGCGCGAGCCUGAACCAGCCAAGUCGCGUGAGGGAAGACGGUCCUAUGGAUUGUAAACCCUUUUUGUCGGGGAGCAAAAGACGCCACGCGUGGCGUUCCGAGAGUACCCGAAGAAAAAGCAUAGGCUAACUCCGUGCCAGCAGCCGCGGUAAUACGGAGGAUGCGAGCGUUAUCCGGAUUUAUUGGGUUUAAAGGGUGCGCAGGCGGAAGAUCAAGUCAGCGGUAAAAUUGAGAGGCUCAACCUCUUCGAGCCGUUGAAACUGGUUUUCUUGAGUGAGUGAGAGGUAUGCGGAAUGCGUGGUGUAGCGGUGAAAUGCAUAGAUAUCACGCAGAACUCCGAUUGCGAAGGCAGCUUACCGGCGCUCAACUGACGCUGAUGCACGAAAGUGUGGGUAGCGAACAGGAUUAGAUACCCGAGUAGUC